AUGCGCACACGCCCACAGCCCGUCGGGCCAGCCGGCGUCCCGGAUCUCUCCAUUGAGGAGAGGGGUCAGGUGGAGCGGCCUGCUGGGGGAGGGGCGGCCUCGCGUCCUCACCCCCCCAGGGGAAGCCAGAGCCUUCCCUCUCUCCGCCGAAAGCAGGCUGGGGCUCUCCACCUCCCACCGGCCCGCUGCGCAGGGGCGGCUCCCGGGAGGCCCAAGCGGGCGGCCGGCCGCCAUCUGUGCCUUCCUUCUGACGCCAGCCAAGGGCCCGAGGGCUUGUCAGCCCCCCCGCCCCGCCCCGCGAGCUCCCCCACCCACCACCUCCCUUCUUCUAGGCUUGUUCUUUCUCCCUCCUGGCGCUCUCCAAAGCCUCACCCCUGCCCCCUUCCCUCUCUUCCCUUACCCUUCAGAAGUCCCGGACGCUUCAUCCCUCAGCCAGCCAGCCCCUUUCUGCUCUCCUGGUCUCUCCCCUCCGAGCUCUUGCCUGAGCCUUCCCCUCUCUCCCUGCCUUCACUUCUGCCCGGCACUCCAGACCUACCUUCCGGCUCCUCCGUGAGAGGACUCGAGCCCGGCUCCCUCCCACGCCUCCCCCCGCCCCGCCCCGCAAGGUCCUCGGGCAGUCGUCAGGCUCCCAUCACCUACGUCUGGCUCCGGGUUCAGGUCUCAGCCCUCCCGGCUCCUUCCGGGGCUCGCUGCCCCGGCAGAGGGAGGAGCGCCCGGCGGCAGCCCGGGGGGCCCGCAUCCUCUCCCCCCACCCCAGGCGGUCAGCUCCGGCGGAGUCUAGCAGUUUGGGGAGGGGAGCAGCCAGAUGGAGAAGGGAAAGAUGGAGCGGAGGGGGGGGGGGGCGGGGUGUGCCGGCUGGCGGCGGAUGGGAGAGAUGACAGCCCUGAAGAUCAAAAUGGAGGCAGGUUGGCAGCGGCGGCCAGGAGGCCAGGGCCUGGGGCAGAACGUCCCGCCGAAAGAGGGUCUCCAGAGUCCGGGGCAUGGCCCGAGGGCAGGGCUGCUCCUUUAGCCAGGGGGGUGCGGGGAGGGACGGGACGAGUCCCUCAACUUUCCCGGAUCGCCCCGGCCCGGCCCGAGGGCUCGAGGGUCCGCCUGGGCUGGGGGGCACCGGGUUGGGGAGAGCCCCGUCCGCCCGGGAGAGCCCCACGCCCGGCGUGCCAACCUGGGCCACCGCUCCAGCUACUGCGGCUGCCCGGGGCCGCUCAGCACCGCAGACAGCUCCCGGCCUCUCCCGCACAGCCCCGCACAGGCCACGCAGCCCCGCGCGGCUCUCCCCCCCAGUCCUAGGGCUCGCCUCUGCUCUCCUCGACCCCAGAUAGCUUCCCCCCAGGCCGGGGUGGGACCAGGUGGGACCAGGGGGCAGCAGGGAGAGGCCCGAGGGGAUGCCGCGGAGCGCGGCGCGACAGACCCACCUGCAGCCUCUGCGGCGGCUCCUUCGGGCUCUAGACCCGCCCCGGACCUCUCAGCCCCGCCCCACCCACAGGCAGGUCCGCCCAGCGAGGACUGGAGGGGGGAGGCGGAGAGGGAGGCUCCCCAGCACCCUGGGGGCGAGGGGUUCCAUUGGGAGAGAGGGGGAGGGGGAGGGGCCGUCCCGUACUGACCCCCCCGCCCCGGGGCCGUCUCCACUCACCCCCCCAACCCCCAGGAGUCCGUCCUGACUGACGCUUAUCCCCCAACCGGCGCCUCCACGCUGACGCCCCUCCCACUGGCGCUGGCCCCUCUCUGUUGAUCCUUGGCCCCCUCCCCCCAUUCUGAGCCUAACUCCCCACUGCCGGGAGUCUACUGCCCCCCCUUCCUACCGACCCUCAUGCCCUCUGCGAGGACCUGAAUCCUUCCCCGGCUCUCACCGGCCCCUUCCUGCCCCCACCCCACCUGCCCCCUCCUCACCAACCUCCCUGCAUCCCCCCUCCGCCCCUGGGAGUCCCUCCUCCUCCUCCUCCUCUUCCUCCAUCUUUCCGGACCUUUGGGCCCCAACAUCACUUCGCGGUCCCUGCUAGAGAAGGUCCUGGACUAGGAAUGGAGCCCCAGCAGGGAAGGGGAAAUGCCUCUGCCCUCCCUCCAGCAGCUUACCUUCUACUGCGUGGGGAGGGGGUGCCGGUGAAGCGAGCUGGGGGACCACAGAAGCCCCACUGCUGUGGGCCAGUCACAGGGGAACCCGAGCAUGGGGUACAGAGAGUGAGGCGGCCUUCCUCUGGGAGAGACAACAGCCACACGGACAGUGUGCCCCAGGAAAGUCUUCGGGUGUAGGGCACAGCCUAGGCAAAGGUGCAAAGGUAGGAAGUGGGUC
rnacentral:lncRNA from 1 species